UGAGUGUUUCUGGAGGGUCUGAACCAUGUCUACGUCCCUGCAUGCUUCCCCUGGUGUUAUCAGCAGUGCAGGCCAAUGACACCAGCAAAAUGAAGAGCCUGGAGCUGCAUGAGCUACAUGCACUUGAGCCUGCGCUGGAGCAUGGGCUAUCACGUGCAGUGCAGGGGACAUUUCUCCCUGGCCUGUCCCUGUCUCCAUGCUGCAUUCUGCCCUGGAGCUGAAUCAGCACCAUUUCUGAGAGGACUAACAGAGAGCAUUACCACCAAUUACUUGAUGCUUGGAGAGAGGAAAGGACAUUCUUUCCUCAAAUGCAGAAGGAUCCUGCUGAGUCAGCUGUGAGUGCUGCCUUUUGGGCUCACUGCGUGCUACCAGGAUGCAGCAUGUACCCAGGGCCGUUGGGGACAUCCUGUCCCUCCUUCUGCAGGAGGACUUGGCGCUUCUUGGCAAAUGCAGCAGGGUGCAAGGGACUGAUUAGAACUCAAUAACCCAGCUAUUGCACAGGCCACCCCACUCCACCAGCCACGUAAUCUGUUUUGGAAGAACAUCAUCAGUGGAGAGAGUGUAUAGUGGUGUUUGGCCCUUGCCUUGUGGAGGUGGUGGUAACCUCUUGCUCUCACAUGAGUGGUGACUGCCUUAGCUUGUCUUCUGGACCCACAGGAGAAAGCUCAGAGAAACCAGUGGAGAUGGAAAAAGCCCAAGUUGUGAAGAGGUUGGCUUUUCAUGUGAGUGGUGACGCAAGUGUCGCACAGAAGCGUGAUGGAUACGCACACACCAUCUCAGCAAGAUGCUGCUCUCCAGGUCCCUCCCAAGAGACUGCUUGUCCAGGGGACACCAAGGACUUGUGCAAUGGUGUCAGUGGCCUUUUCUGACAUCCAGCAUGGGUUUGUUUAAUCUCUGGAGCUUUAUGUCUGUCACUGGCAUGUUGCCCCACAGUCUGCUGAUGCCACCUACAGUUAUGGGGAGAUGCAGACGAUUGGCCUGGCAAAGCAGAGUUGCAGACAGCCCAAAAGCCAGGGCAGACUGAGAGCUGCUGUCUAGAAGAACAGGAAGGCAAUAUCUUGCAGAUAUAGGGUCAGUCUGUAAUGCAGUCCAAUGCUUAUUCACAGAACAGGUCCUGGCCCCAGAGCCAGAGACCUGCCCUGCUCAUGUACCCGUAGAAAAUCUCUUGGAGUAAAUCAUGCGCAUUGCAAAUGGCUGCUGUUGUUUAGAUGGACGUGAGACAGUUCAGCCUGGAACUGAGUUCAGCCACUCAACUCUGUAAAUUUAAUGCAUGCAAAUGCUGCUGAAGAUUUAAUGGGAAACACAGUGGAGAAAAAUAAAGACAGACCUUUUGAGGUCUUGGAUGCUGAGAGUAAUAUUUGGGUUUGGUGACUCUCUGUAU